GAUUCCGAGUUUCUGAACUCAAUAUAUGAUUUUUAAAACGACUAUUACGCAGAUUGGCAGUGUCUGGAAAAUUUUUAAAGUCUGUUAACACCUCGUGUUCGACUCCGGUGACGGUCUCGGGUUCGGGGUGUUACAUUUGAUUGGUAUCAGAGCUACGGUUUAGUCGAUUUUAGGACUACCGUAAUGCGUUGGGUCUAGCUAUA
rnacentral:lncRNA from 1 species